rnacentral:rRNA from 1 species
UACAGAGGUCUCGAGCGUUAGGCGGAAUCACUGGGCUUAAAGCGUGUGUAGGCGGAUUGGUAAGUACUUUGUGAAAUCCCACGGCUUAACCGUGGAACUGCUUGGUAUACUGCCAGUCUUGAGCCAGCUAGGGGCUACCGGAACAAAUGGUGGAGCGGUGAAAUGCGUAGAUAUCAUUUGGAACGCCAAUGGUGAAAACAGGUAGCUGGGGCUGUGCUGACGCUGAGACACGAAAGCCAGGGGAGGCAAACGGG